rnacentral:rRNA from 1 species
GACGAACCGUGCAAACGUUAUUCGGAAUCACUGGGCUUAAAGGGCGCGUAGGCGGGCUCCCAAGUCGGUGGUGAAAUCUUUCGGCCCAACCGGAAAAGUGCCGCCGAUACUGGGAGCCUCGAGGGAGGUAGGGGUCGAGGGAACUCUAGGUGGAGCGGUGAAAUGCGUAGAUAUCAAGCGGAACACCGGUGGCGAAGGCGGCCUUCUGGACAGUGACUGACGCUGAGACGCGAAAGCGUGGGGAGCAAACAGG